CUCCUGGACAGCUUCACUCCGCAAAUAGCUCAACCACUGAGGGGAGGAACUUCACCAUUCAAAAGACAGUGUCUUCAGGCAGAGUCCAGCAAAGCAGCUUCCCCUGGAAAUCCUCAGUGAAGUUAUUUUGUCAGCGGGUGACUCUGCAUAUUUGACACUUUCUCUGGUUUGCAGAUGGUUUAGGGAUGUGGUCACUCAAGAAGUUUUCCGGAAAGCGGCACACUUUGCCUGGCUAGACAGUAAGAU